rnacentral:rRNA from 1 species
AACGAACGCUGGCGGCAUGCCUAACACAUGCAAGUCGAACGAGACCUUCGGGUCUAGUGGCGCACGGGUGCGUAACGCGUGGGAACCUGCCCUUAGGUUCGGAAUAACUCCCCGAAAGGGGUGCUAAUACCGGAUAAUGUCUUCGGACCAAAGAUUUAUCGCCUUUGGAUGGGCCCGCGUUGGAUUAGCUAGAUGGUAGGGUAAAAGCCUACCAAGGCGACGAUCCAUAGCUGGUCUGAGAGGAUGAUCAACCACACUGGGACUGAGACACGGCCCAGACUCCUACGGGAGGCAGCAGUGGGGAAUAUUGGACAAUGGGCGAAAGCCUGAUCCAGCAAUGCCGCGUGAGUGAUGAAGGCCUUAGGGUUGUAAAGCUCUUUUACCCGGGAUGAUAAUGACAGUACCGGGAGAAUAAGCUCCGGCUAACUCCGUG